rfam:Gorilla gorilla gorilla genomic chromosome, chr14, whole genome shotgun sequence
GCUGGUUGUCGUGACGCACGCCUGUAGUCCCAGCCACUUGGGACGCUGAGCCGGGAGAAUCUCUUGAGCCCAGGAGAUCGAGGCUGCAGUGAGCUAUGAUCAAGCCACUGCACUCUAGCCUGGGCAAUAGAGUGAGACCCUGUCUCAA